GACGAACGCUGGCGGCGUGCUUAACACAUGCAAGUCGAGCGAUGAAGCACCUUCGGGUGUGAAUUAGCGGCGAACGGGUGAGGAACACGUGAGAAAUCUGCCUUCAACUCUGGGAUAACUCCGGGAAACCGGGGCUAAUACCGGAUAUGAGCCUUGAUCGCAUGAUCGGGGCUGGAAAGUUUUUCGGUUGAAGAUGACUUCGCGGCCUAUCAGCUUGUUGGUGAGGUAAUGGCUCACCAAGGCGACGACGGGUAGCCGGCCUGAGAGGGCGACCGGCCACACUGGGACUGAGACACGGCCCAGACUCCUACGGGAGGCAGCAGUGGGGAAUAUUGGGCAAUGGAGGAAACUCUGACCCAGCGACGCCGCGUGAGGGAUGAAGGCCUUCGGGUUGUAAACCUCUUUCAGUAGGGAAGAAGCGAAGGUGACGGUACCUACAGAAGAAGCACCGGCUAACUAUGUGCCAGCAGCCGCAGUAA
rnacentral:rRNA from 1 species